AGAGUUUGAUCAUGGCUCAGAGUGAACGCUGGCGGCAGGUCUAACACAUGCAAGUCGAACGGCAGCACAGAGGAGCUUGCUCCUUGGGUGGCGAGUGGCGGACGGGUGAGGAAUACAUCGGAAUCUGCCUUAUCGUGGGGGAUAACGUAGGGAAACUUACGCUAAUACCGCAUACGACCUACGGGUGAAAGCGGAGGACCGCAAGGCUUCGCGCGAUAAGAUGAGCCGAUGUCGGAUUAGCUAGUUGGCGGGGUAAUGGCCCACCAAGGCGACGAUCCGUAGCUGGUCUGAGAGGAUGAUCAGCCACACUGGAACUGAGACACGGUCCAGACUCCUACGGGAGGCAACAGUGGGGAAUAUUGGACAAUGGGCGCAAGCCUGAUCCAGCCAUGCCGCGUGUGUGAAGAAGGCCUUCGGGUUGUAAAGCACUUUUGUCCGGAAAGAAAAGCUUCGGGUUAAUACCCCGGGGUUCUGACGGUACCGGAAGAAUAAGCACCGGCUAACUUCGUGCCAGCAGCCGCGGUAAUACGAAGGGUGCAAGCGUUACUCGGAAUUACUGGGCGUAAAGCGUGCGUAGGUGGUUUGUUAAGUCUGAUGUGAAAGCCCUGGGCUCAACCUGGGAAUUGCAUUGGAUACUGGCA
rnacentral:rRNA from 1 species